GAUAAACGCUGGCGGCGUGCGUAAACAUGUAAGUCGAACGGGCCGACGCAAGUCGGUCAGUGGCGGCCGGCUGAGUAACGCGUAGGUGACUUGCCCUAAAGUGGGGAAUAACGAUUCGAAAGAAUCGCUAAUACCGCAUGUGGUUGUACGUAUAGACGCGUGCAACUAAAGCUCGCAAGGGCGCUUUGGGAGAGGCCUGCGUCCGAUUAGCUAGUUGGUGGGGUAAUGGCCUACCAAGGCUCCGAUCGGUAGCUGAUCUGAGAGGAUGAUCAGCCAGACUGGGACUGAGACACGGCCCAGACUCCUACGGGAGGCAG
rnacentral:rRNA from 1 species